AUUGAACGCUGGCGGAAUGCUUUACACAUGCAAGUCGAACGGUAGAGGGGGCAACCCCUCGAGAGUGGCGAACGGGUGAGUAAUAUAUCGGAACGUGCCCAGUCGUGGGGGAUAACGUAGCGAAAGUUACGCUAAUACCGCAUACGAUCUACGGAUGAAAGCGGGGGACUCGCAAGAGCCUCGCGCGAUUGGAGCGGCCGAUAUCAGAUUAGGUAGUUGGUGGGGUAAAAGGCUCACCAAGCCAACGAUCUGUAGCUGGUCUGAGAGGACGACCAGCCACACUGGAACUGAGACACGGUCCAGACUCCUACGGGAGGCAGCAGUGGGGAAUUUUGGACAAUGGACGCAAGUCUGAUCCAGCCAUUCCGCGUGCAGGAUGAAGGCCCUCGGGUUGUAAACUGCUUUUGUACGGAACGAAAAGGUCUCUAUUAAUACUAGGGGCUCAUGACGUACCGUAAGAAUAAGCACCGGCUAACUACGUG
rnacentral:rRNA from 1 species